UUUUAAUUAAUAAAAAAGAAAAAGCCCCAGUGCUUUCAUCCAUAUGUUAUUCUUUGUCAGUACAAUGCCUGCUUCCUUAACUCGCCAGUGUCAUUUAUGGAGUACUUUCCUUCUCUGUAAAGACACCCAAAGGUGUCAUAUCUGUUUGAAUGGUGGGACACUUCGAGAAUGGGAAGGGUGAUAUACAUUUCUGCAACUCUGGAACUCUCCCUCCUUAAAGCCAAU